CGAUUUCCACAACCUCACAAACAAAAACCUUUUAAGGUUUCUUUUCUUCCACUGUUGGUUCCAACUCCAAAUCAUGUCUUUCUCUCAUGCAACUUCCAAAUCGCAACCACGCAAGAAAACAAGCUUUACAAAACGGUGUAUUUCUAUGACGAAGCAACAUAGAGGGCGAUUCUAUAUCUUUGGAAGAUGUGUGGCUAUGCUUCUCUGUUGGCACAACCAUACUGUUUCUGAUUAGGUUUUUGUUUUUGAGGUUCAACAGUUAUGGAAGAAGAAGGUGGAAUUGAAGAUAAAUCUUUGAACAAGAUGGCAAUGGCGGCUCUAAUUUUUGAAGAGCGUAACAAAAUUUUGAAUAUAUAUGAUAAUAUGAUUAUAUAUUAUAUAUUAGUUUUUUAUUGUUAGGUUUUCUGGUUUUCAAUAUUUAGUGGAGAUAGUUUUAUUUUAGAAUUUUGGGUACUAAAUGUGAAUUAUGUUUUUGUUUGAUACUGUAGUUAGUUUUGCCGUAUUUUGUUUCUUUUUGGUGACAUAGAAUCAUUGGAUGAUUGUGGUUUAUGUAAAAUCAUAUUAUGGAAUGUAGUUGAUUUGGAGUUUACACAUUUCUAACUAAAAUUAUGAUGAGGCACAGAGUUCAACUUGCAGUCUGCAGCCGAAAAUGCAGCUGCAGUAUAAAGAUUUUAGAGAUCUUAACAAUUGUGUUAGGCAUUAUCAACAAUAUUUGCUACAAUUUCCCCCUAAUUUUAAAGUUGAGAGGAUAAUUAUAAUAAGAGUGUCA
rnacentral:lncRNA from 1 species